GACGAACGCUGGCGGCGUGCCUAAUACAUGCAAGUUGAGCGAUGAAGAUUGGUGCUUGCACCAAUUUGAAGAGCAGCGAACGGGUGAGUAACGCGUGGGGAAUCUGCCUUUGAGCGGGGGACAACAUUUGGAAACGAAUGCUGAUACCGCAUAAUAACUUUAAACAUAAGUUUUAAGUUUGAAAGAUGCAAUUGCAUCACUCAAAGAUGAUCCCGCGUUGUAUUAGCUAGUUGGUGAGGUAAAGGCUCACCAAGGCGAUGAUACAUAGCCGACCUGAGAGGGUGAGCGGCCACAUUGGGACUGAGACACGGCCCAAACUCCUACGGGAGGCAGCAGUAGGGAAUCUUCGGCAAUGGACGAAAGUCUGACCGAGCAACGCCGCGUGAGUGAAGAAGGUUUUCGGAUCGUAAAACUCUGUUGGUAGAGAAGAACGUUGGUGAGAGUGGAAAGCUCAUCAAGUGACGGUAACUACCCAGAAAGGGACGGCUAACUACGUG
rnacentral:rRNA from 1 species